rnacentral:rRNA from 1 species
AUGCAAGUCGAACGAUGAACCGGCUUCGGUCGGGGAUUAGUGGCGAACGGGUGAGUAACACGUGGGCAAUCUGCCCUGCACUCUGGGACAAGCCCUGGAAACGGGGUCUAAUACCGGAUACGACCUGUCAAGGCAUCUUGGCGGGUGGAAAGCUCCGGCGGUGCAGGAUGAGCCCGCGGCCUAUCAGCUUGUUGGUGGGGUGAUGGCCUACCAAGGCGACGACGGGUAGCCGGCCUGAGAGGGCGACCGGCCACACUGGGACUGAGACACGGCCCAGACUCCUACGGGAGGCAGCAGUGGGGAAUAUUGCACAAUGGGCGAAAGCCUGAUGCAGCGACGCCGCGUGAGGGAUGACGGCCUUCGGGUUGUAAACCUCUUUCAGCAGGGAAGAAGCGAGAGUGACGGUACCUGCAGAAGAAGCGCCGGCUAACUACGUGCCAGCAGCCGCGGUAAUACGUAGGGCGCAAGCGUUGUCCGGAAUUAUUGGGCGUAAAGAGCUCGUAGGCGGCUUGUCGCGUCGGUUGUGAAAGCCCGGGGCUUAACCCCGGGUCUGCAGUCGAUACGGGCAGGCUAGAGUUCGGUAGGGGAGAUCGGAAUUCCUGGUGUAGCGGUGAAAUGCGCAGAUAUCAGGAGGAACACCGGUGGCGAAGGCGGAUCUCUGGGCCGAUACUGACGCUGAGGAGCGAAAGCGUGGGGAGCGAACAGGAUUAGAUACCCUGGUAGUCCACGCCGUAAACGUUGGGAACUAGGUGUGGGUCACAUUCCACGUGGUCCGUGCCGCAGCUAACGCAUUAAGUUCCCCGCCUGGGGAGUACGGCCGCAAGGCUAAAACUCAAA